UAAAGCAUUGCCUGUUAAAUUUGAGGUGGAC
rnacentral:piRNA from 1 species